GCCGGGUGUGUUGGCACACAUCUGUAAUCCAGCGACUCAGGAGGCUGAGGCAGGAGGAUCACAAGUUUGAGGCUAGCCUCAGCAACUUAGCAAGACCCUGUCUCAA
rnacentral:sRNA from 1 species